GCUAAAAUUGGAAUUGGCUUUGGCAACUAAAAUUGGAAUGACACAGAGAAGAUUAGCAUGGCCCCUGGACAAGGAUGACAUGCAAAUGUGUGAAGUGUUCCAUAUUUUU